GUUGAAGAUCAGCGGCUGCAGCGCCUCGUGAUGUAAUCCUUGCAGAGGCAGAUGGCAAGUGCCAAGUUUCAGCUGACAUUUGAAAGCAGGAGAAUGACCAGCAGUCUUAGGAGGGGUGGGUCUUCUCUGCCUGCUGACUUCCGGUUCCCCCGACCCCAGCGCUCGCAGGACUGCUGCACCGCAAGUGGCAAGGGACAGGCAGCAGCGUGUUACCUGGAGGGAGACAAACCUUCCAGUUUUUCUCGUUUUAUAAAAGUUUUUGUCUCAUGUGAAAGUGAAACAGCAGGUAAGAGGCUGACCAGCUUCAACUGGUUUUGCCUCCUUAAAUAGGUUGAUUCAUCGCACCUUGAGUUAUUCUACAGAGAGCACUGCGCAUGUGCAAGACGGGACCGCGGGAACCGAGAACCUUCCGCCGCCGCCGCCGCAACUCAGAGAAGAGAGACGCUGCGGCCGGAGUCCUUUAAGAAGGGGGAAGGCCUUCAGUGAGGAAGAGCUGGCUUCCAGCAGCCCCGGUAGCUCGUGGGGACUGAUUCAAGACUAACCAAGCCGCUUCCAAGUUUGAAAUUCCCUGAACCCCUCAAAUUUUGCCGCCCACCCGGGAUGGGGAGACGGCUUCGCGGGCUUCGCCUGCUGCGGGCUUCGCCCGUCAGCCUCACAGUAUGCCUCUUUCUUCCCUCAGAAGCUGUUGCCACGGCAUUGGCUUCUAUGUGAGUCAGACAGCGAGCAUUUGCUUGGUAACAAGAGGUUGUAAAUGCUCAAAUUUUAUCCUAGAUAUGUUAGAAACAAAGGGAAAAAAAGAGGGACUUCCAGUUCAGCAAAGAUAACAUUGCUUUUAUGUCUUAAGGGAUUGAAUUACCAGGUUGUAAAUCUGUGGUUUCUUUUGUGCUUCUCAGAAAGACUGAGUGCCUUAGAAGGAUGUUUUCAUUGUUAUUUUACGGGCAUUGAAUGCUAAAAGGAGCUAAAAUGGAACUCCAUCGUUGAAGGGGGACAGAAUCAGGUGGAACCAGUCAGCUCUGAUAUGUUUUCGGCUCUCUUGUUGGGAGAACCACCCCAAGGGCCUAUGCUGGGGUGCUGGGCUGGUGGUCCAGGCUGGUGGCCCACCGCUUUAUCCAGGCCACACCGACUCCUGCGGCUGCGGGAACUCAUGGCCAUCUUGGUGGGAAUAACCAGUGCCUGAGCUGGGCCGGAGGGUGGAAGCGAAAGAGGAGGCCUGAAAGAGAUGCCAGGGGGGCACUGAAAUGUUAUAUAUAGGAAUGAAGAUUCACUCGCUCCUGGCACACACGGGGAGCUUGACAAACAGCUGUUGAAUGGCUGACUGAGAACUACAGUGCUGUAGAGGCUCACCUUCGACUACAGACACGUUAAUAAGGCGUUGAAACUGCAGCGUGGAGCCGAGUAAGCCAGACACGAGUCAGCAUCCUGCGUGACUCCGUUUACAUGGAGUCCCAAACCGGGCACAGCGGCUUUGAUGAUUCGAAGUCAGGACUGUGGUUUCUCUGGGAUGAGCAGUUGCUGGAAGCGAGUCUGAAGGCUGGUCAUGUUGUUUCUUGAUCUGGAUACUGGUUAUACAUGUGGGCCCAGUGUGGGAAAACUCACCGAAUUGUGCAUGAAGACAUAAAUGCACUUUCCUUAAAGUCUAUUAUACUUCAGUCAAAAGUGAAAAAAAUAUGUAUAGCAUUUCAUCUUAGGAACAGAGCAACUUGAUAAAUGCUUAGCACUUGGAAAGAAAUCCCCCGUAGCAUAAAAUAAAAGAAAAUAAAAAAGAAGUUGGGGUGAGGGUUUUUCUUUCCAUAUGCUGUAAAAUUCGCAAGUCUUACACUCUCAUAGAAUAAACAGAGCUUUGACUUUGGGUUCAAGAUUCAAGCAGCUGCCUCCAUAGACUUUUGACAGUUUUAUCACAUAUUUAGCAGUCACAAAGGAUGUUUUAGACACCAGGAUGAUACACACAGGUGUUGGCAGGUCUUAUCUGUCUGCAGUCUUAUAAAACUGAAAAAAGAAACUUAGCAAAAAUAAACCAUCAGGCUGGUCUAUUGAAUUAUUUUUCUAGUUUUAUGAAAAGCCCUUUCAGUGGAACUGGCUAGAUAUAUAGUGGUGAAAAACAAUUUUUCUAAAUUAGAAAACUGAUUUUGGUUUUGAAAAGUCAGAUCUAAGUAAACACCCUUUUAAAGAAAGAAUAUGUUAGUAUUAAUGUGUAUAGAACGUACUUGUAAAUUUUUUAUUUUAAAAACUUAUUUAUUUUUAUUUUUUAAUAGUAUCUCCUUUUCUAAAUUUUAUUUUUCACUUUUUAUUUUGGGAGGAGGCAAUUAGGUUUAUUUAUUUAUUUUAGUGGAGAUACUGGGGAUUGAACCCAGGACCUUGUGCCUGCUAGGCACGCAUUCUACCACUGAACUAUACCCUCUCACUAGAAUGUUUUUUUUUUUUUAAAGAGACAGUUGAUACCCUUUAAAGUUGACAUGAGAAUAGAUAUCACAGUCUGACUUCUUUUUCUUUUCUUUUUAUUUUACUUUGAAGUAUAGGUGGAGAGAAGGCUCGAUAGGAAGGGUCCUCGGGAAACUGAUGGGUAUGAUUUGAUGUCAGUUUCCACACAGGCAGUGUUUGGGGUUCAUCUAGGUUUGGGGGGGAUACUGGAAGAGUUACUGGUUGAUUCAGAUGAUUGAUAAUUUACAGUUAGGCAUGCUUUUGAAGAUGCUUAUAGACUUUAUCAAAAUGCUAGACGUGGCUAUUAUGCUGCAAGAGGAACCGAUUGAAUUCACGGGUGUUCAGUGGCGCCCACAGAGGACUCCUGGCUUCUUUAUUUCCUUUCUUGGGAUUAAAAGCAGAGAUUUAGGCAAAGAAUUAGAAUUUGGAAAUUUAAGUUUCUGGCUCCUAAAUUCUACUGGAGUAUCACAUACUUCAUGAGGCUGGUAAAUAGAGGUUAGUAAGUUCCAUGCUUAGUUUAGAAGCGUGCGUCUCUGUGACUGGGACAGUGUGCUGUACACAAGAAAUCAACACACUGUAACUGACAGUACUGCAAUUAUAAAUAAAUAAAUAUGAUUU